ensembl:snoRNA snoRNA:Psi18S-525d snoRNA:Psi18S-525d
UGGGUGGAGUUAAAGUGGCAUAUUUUAUAGCUUUCCUUUGAUCUGUGUCUCUAUCGCUCCAAUAUCAAUUUUAUAAGCGAACGGCAUCCUGUUUAAUUACUUAUAUUAAGACAGACGACUUGUGUUCGUGCACAACU